GAUGAACGCUGGCGGCGUGCCUAAUACAUGCAAGUCGAGCGAACAGACGAGGAGCUUGCUCCUCUGACGUUAGCGGCUGACGGGUGAGUAACACGUGGAUAACCUACCUAUAAGACUGGGAUAACUUCGGGAAACCGGAGCUAAUACCGGAUAAUAUAUUGAACGGCAUGGUUCAAUAGUGAAAGACGGUUUUGCUGUCACUUAUAGAUGGAUCCGCGCCGCAUUAGCUAGUUGGUAAGGUAACGGCUUACCAAGGCAACGAUGCGUAGCCGACCUGAGAGGGUGAUCGGCCACACUGGAACUGAGACACGGUCCAGACUCCUACGGGAGGCAGCAGUAGGGAAUAUUCCGCAAUGGGCGAAAGCCUGACGGAGCAACGCCGCGUGAGUGAUGAAGGUCUUCGGAUCGUAAAACUCUGUUAUUAGGGAAGAACAACUGUGUAAGUAACUAUGCACGUCUUGACGGUACCUAAUCAGAAAGCAACGGCUAACUACGUG
rnacentral:rRNA from 1 species